AUGAACAAGGCCAGAGACCAAAAUGGCUGCAGCAGUCCUUUUAAUGGCAGAGAGUCACCAGUGAGCAAUGGCUUCAUAGCUGGUGAUUCGGGAUUCCUGAGUACUGUUUGGGCUUCCAUACAGACGUCUGCUUCUGAGGAAAGCAUGGAAUGGGUUAAAGCCUGCCCGAACCAGCUUCUCCAAUUCACCAGGCACCUAAGAGACAUUGAUGAAAAAUUCCAGAAUUUCCGGGAACUUUUCCAAAGAGGUGGUUCCCCGUUUUCCGGCCCUGUCGACGUUAGAUUGACUGACUUGCUUCAGACGGUCUCAUCUUUUCUGGGCAAGUAUCCAGCCUUGAACUGCAGGGAGGCCAUUCAGCAAACCACGGCUGCCCUCAUCACCUGCAUCAAUGGUAAGUUUUCUCUCUCAACAGAGUCAAGUCAAACUGCGUAACACCGUCAAAGAAAUUUCGGAUGAUUGUUUGAGGAUGGUAUGAAAAUACAGGAUCCUGGCCUCCCCUAUUCCUUCAUGGGGUUAAUUUCGCAAGUUCAGCUUGCCAUGUCAUAGAAAUGAGAGCAGAGACAUUUCCCACAAUUAACUCUUCCAUACAUUUAUUCAUUCGUUUACAUUUGCAUUCCUGCAAUGAGUUUAAGCAGCUUAAAAUGUAUCUACACUGUAGAAUUAAUGCGGAUUGACACCACUUUAAUGGCCAGGGAUCAAUGUUAUGGAAUCUUCCAAGUUUUACAAGAUCUUUCGCCUUCUCUGCCCAAGAAUGCUGGUGUUUCACUACAAUUCCUAGAAUUCCAUAGCAUUGAGCCAUGUCAAUAGCAUAAAUUUUACAGCGCCCAGGCUUAACCCAUUAGGCUAAACUGCUAGCUGUAGAAAAAUCCUGCCGAUCUAAAAGUCAGCAGUUUGAGCCUGGGUUGGGAUGAGCAGCUGCCAUCAGCCCCAGCUCCCUGCCCAUCUAGCAGAUCAAAAGCAGAAAUGCAAGUAGAUAAAUAGGUACCACUAUUGGGAGGUAAUAAAAAAGGCACCCUUAAGGACAUCUAUCAGGAGAACAUCAAAGGACGGCAAAGCUCCUCGGCAUAAAAUAUGGACCCCCUCCACCCGCCCGUGGCUGGAAUUGAGCAGAGCCUCCAAGAUGCCAGAAAUAAGAUGAGAAAUGCCUUUACCUCUGUUUGCAUGUAUUGUCUGUCCUUGGUAAUUGUAUAACAACAUUGAAUGCUUGCCGUAUGUGUGUUCUGUAAUCCACCCUGAGUCCCCUCAGGGAGAUAGAGCAUAAUAUAAAGGAAGUAUAUAUUAGUGUCUUCUGCCAACCUAGCAGUUCGAAAACAUGCCAGUGUGAGUAGAUCAACAGGUACCGCUCCGGCGGGAAGGUAACGGCGCUCCAUGCAGUCAUGCCGGCCACAUGACCUUGGAGGUGUCUAUGGACAACCCUGGCUCUUCGGCUUAGAAAUAGAGAUGAGCACCAACCCCCAGAGUCAGACAUGACUGGACUUAACGCCAGGGGAAACCUUUACCUUUACCUUUUAUAUAUUAGUGUAGGUGCACACAUAUUUGGUUCCAUUAUAUAAAUAAGGUAAAGGUAAAGGUUUUCCCCUGACGAUAAGUCUAGUCAUGUCCGACUCUGGGGGUUGGUGUUCACCUCAAUUUCUAAGCCAAAGACGCCUUCAAGGUCAUGUGGCUGGCAUAUAAAUACACAUAUUAAAACGUAUUUCUACAAAAUACAUAUAUUAACAUACACAGAACAAUGAUUAAAAUAUAGUGGACUCAAGAUACAUGUUCAAAAUUUGAGAUUAAGUUCAUGAUCAAAUUGUUGACCCUUUGGUUUUCUCACUGAAAGCUCUUUAUAUGACUGCUUGGUUGUUAUUCAUUUUAUAUCUAUAUCUAUAAUUACCAUAACAUUUUAUUGAUGUCUAUUUUAGGGUUGAUUGAUUUUACUGUGAUAUUGUUUUAUGUUUUUAUAGCCAGUUUUAUUUUAUUACAGGUGCAUCUUGCAUUUCUGUUACAUGUUGUUCUAGGGAUUAAUCAUAAUAACAACCCAAAUGAAAUAAAAUAUAUUCAAAUACAAUUGAUUUAAGGAUAUCAAGACAAAAAAACCAAACAUGUUCCUCCCUUCCCCACCCCAAAAGUCAAUCAACCAGCAACAUCAUACUUGCAAGUUAGGUUAUGGGUCAGCGGCCUGUUUAAAUAAAAAAGUCUUUGUCUCAGAGUGGAAGAUUAUCAGAAACUUGGCUAGCUGGUAUGAUUGCUAGGUCAGGAUCAUCUCUGGCCCUGAGGUUUCCAAGACAAAACCCGAGACCUAAGGAUAGCCCUUUGUGACGUCAUUAAUCAUUGUCUACAACAUUUGCUCACAGCUUGUCAUUCAGGUGCACACACAUAAUGACCCAUACAGACAAAGAAACAGAUACACACAUGCAGAACAUAUUAAUCCUAUCUGGAAAUUAUGUAAGUCAGAAAUCUUAGCUAUAUGAACUAUUCCCA
rnacentral:lncRNA from 1 species